rnacentral:rRNA from 1 species
GAUGAACGCUAGCUACAGGCUUAACACAUGCAAGUCGAGGGGUAGCAGGGUAGCAAUACCGCUGACGACCGGCGCACGGGUGAGUAACACGUAUCCAACCUUCCCAUAACUCGGGGAUAGCCUUUCGAAAGAAAGAUUAAUACCCGAUAGUACUUAUAUAGGGCAUCCUACAUAAGUUAAAGAUUUAUUGGUUAUGGAUGGGGAUGCGUUCCAUUAGAUAGUUGGUGAGGUAACGGCUCACCAAGUCUUCGAUGGAUAGGGGUUCUGAGAGGAAGGUCCCCCACAUUGGUACUGAGACACGGACCAAACUCCUACGGGAGGCAGCAGUGAGGAAUAUUGGUCAGUGGGCGAGAGCCUGAACCAGCCAAGUAGCGUGGAGGAUGAAGGUCCUAUGGAUUGUAAACUUCUUUUAUAGUAGAAUAAAGUGAUCCACGUGUGGAUUUUUGUAUGUAUACUAUGAAUAAGGAUCGGCUAACUACGUGCCAGCAGCCGCGGUAAAAC